rnacentral:rRNA from 1 species
AGAGUUUGAUCAUGGCUCAGGACGAACGCUGGCGGCGUGCUUAACACAUGCAAGUCGAACGGAAAGGCCCUUCGGGGUACUCGAGUGGCGAACGGGUGAGUAACACGUGGGUGAUCUGCCCUGCACUUUGGGAUAAGCCUGGGAAACUGGGUCUAAUACCGAAUAGGACCACGCGCUUCAUGGUGUGUGGUGGAAAGCUUUUGCGGUGUGGGAUGGGCCCGCGGCCUAUCAGCUUGUUGGUGGGGUAAUGGCCUACCAAGGCGACGACGGGUAGCCGGCCUGAGAGGGUGACCGGCCACACUGGGACUGAGAUACGGCCCAGACUCCUACGGGAGGCAGCAGUGGGGAAUAUUGCACAAUGGGCGCAAGCCUGAUGCAGCGACGCCGCGUGAGGGAUGACGGCCUUCGGGUUGUAAACCUCUUUCACCAGGGACGAAGCGCAAGUGACGGUACCUGGAGAAGAAGCACCGGCCAACUACGUGCCAGCAGCCGCGGUAAUACGUAGGGUGCGAGCGUUGUCCGGAAUUACUGGGCGUAAAGAGCUCGUAGGUGGUUUGUCGCGUUGUUCGUGAAAACUCACAGCUUAACUGUGGGCGUGCGGGCGAUACGGGCAGACUAGAGUACUGCAGGGGAGACUGGAAUUCCUGGUGUAGCGGUGGAAUGCGCAGAUAUCAGGAGGAACACCGGUGGCGAAGGCGGGUCUCUGGGCAGUAACUGACGCUGAGGAGCGAAAGCGUGGGGAGCGAACAGGAUUAGAUACCCUGGUAGUCCAA